UGCACCGAAGCUGCGGCAGCGACACUGUGUGUUGUUGGGUAGGGGAGCGUUCUGUAAGCCUGUGAAGGUGUGUCGUGAGGCAUGCUGGAGGUAUCAGAAGUGCGAAUGCUGACAUAAGUAACGAUAAAGCGGGUGAAAAGCCCGCUCGCCGGAAGACCAAGGGUUCCUGUCCAACGUUAAUCGGGGCAGGGUGAGUCGACCCCUAAGGCGAGGCCGAAAGGCGUAGUCGAUGGGAAACGGGUUAAUAUUCCCGUACUUGGUGUUACUGCGAAGGGGGGACGGAGAAGGCUAUGUUGGCCGGGCGACGGUUGUCCCGGUUUAAGCGUGUAGGUGUGUGUUCCAGGUAAAUCCGGUUCACUUUAACACUGAGGCGUGACGACGAGGCACUACGGUGCUGAAGCAACAAAUGCCCUGCUUCCAGGAAAAGCCUCUAAGCAUCAGGUAACAUCAAAUCGUACCCCAAACCGACACAGGUGGUCAGGUAGAGAAUACCAAGGCGCUUGAGAGAACUCGGGUGAAGGAACUAGGCAAAAUGGUGCCGUAACUUCGGGAGAAGGCACGCUGACACGUAGGUGAAGUGAUUUACUCAUGGAGCUGAAGUCAGUCGAAGAUACCAGCUGGCUGCAACUGUUUAUUAAAAACACAGCACUGUGCAAACACGAAAGUGGACGUAUACGGUGUGACGCCUGCCCGGUGCCGGAAGGUUAAUUGAUGGGGUCAGCGCAAGCGAAGCUCCUGAUCGAAGCCCCGGUAAACGGCGGCCGUAACUAUAACGGUCCUAAGGUAGCGAAAUUCCUUGUCGGGUAAGUUCCGACCUGCACGAAUGGCGUAAUGAUGGCCAGGCUGUCUCCACCCGAGACUCAGUGAAAUUGAACUCGCUGUGAAGAUGCAGUGUACCCGCGGCAAGACGGAAAGACCCCGUGAACCUUUACUAUAGCUUGACACUGAACAUUGAGCCUUGAUGUGUAGGAUAGGUGGGAGGCUUUGAAGUGUGGACGCCAGUCUGCAUGGAGCCGACCUUGAAAUACCACCCUUUAAUGUUUGAUGUUCUAACGUGGACCCGUUACCCGGGUUGCGGACAGUGUCUGGUGGGUAGUUUGACUGGGGCGGUCUCCUCC
rnacentral:rRNA from 1 species